rnacentral:rRNA from 1 species
GUUUAAUGGAUAACUGUAAUAACUCUAGAGCUAAUACAUGCCACGAAGCCCUGACCCCGCUCUUUGGGUGGGGAAUGGGUGCACUUAUUAGAUCAGAAGCCAACCAGUUCAUGCGCCCGCUUCACGGUGGGUGUGUGGAUUGUAGCACUUCUGGUGACUCUGGAUAAUUGUUACAGAUCGCAGUCGGCUUUUAUGUCGGCGACGGGUCCUUCAAAUGUCUGCCCUAUCAACUAUCGAUGGUAGGUGACCUGCCUACCAUGGUGAUAACGGGUAACGGGGAAUCAGGGUUCGAUUCCGGAGAGGGAGCCUGAGAAACGGCUACCACUUCCAAGGGAGGCAGCAGGCGCGCAAAUUACCCACUCCCAGUACGGGGAGGUGGUGACGAAAAAUACCGAUGCGGGACUCAUUAACGAGGCUCCGUAAUCGGAAUGAGUGGACUCUAAAUCCUUUCACGAGGAUCAAUUGGAGGGCAAGUCUGGUGCCAGCAGCCGCGGUAACUCCAGCUCCAAUAGCGUAUAUUAAAGUUGCUGCAGUUAAAAAGCUCGUAGUUGGAUCUCGGUAGCAUUGUUGCCUGCUCGGGUAUCAGGUUAUGUGGUGUGCAUCUUAUCGGGUGUGCUUGUGUGCACUCUGCUCUCAUUGUAAUGGUGGGGGUGUGAGUUGUGCGCGGGUCCCACGGUGGGUGUACAUUAAAACUGCAUUUCCUUGAACUGGCAUGGUGAUGGUGUCACCUUUGAGCCAUGUCUGUAGUCUCUAAUGGCUGCAGGUGUAAGCGAGUGUCAGGCAGUGCUCUGCACUAGUUGUGGAGCCUAGUCGGCUCGUUUGCAUGCCGAUGGAUGCCCUUCAAAAGGUGUUCAUUGGCGGAUGGCACGUUUACUUUGAACAAAUUUGAGUGCUCAAAUCAGGCCGAUGUUGCCUGAAAAGUUUUGCAUGGAAUAAUGGAAUAGGACUUCGGUUCUAUUUCGUUGGUUUUCGGAUCCGAAGUAAUGAUCAAAAGAGACAGGCGGGGACGUUUGUAUGGCUGCGCUAGAGGUGAAAUUCAUGGACCGUAGCCAGACAAACUAAAGCGAAAGCAUUCGUCAAGCAUGUUUUCAUUGACCAUGAGCGAAAGUCAGAGGCUCGAAGACGAUCAGAUACCGUCCUAGUUCUGACCAUAAACGAUGCCAACUGACGAUCCGUAGCGAUAGUCACAGACCUAUCCUGCGGGCAGUCCCCGGGAAACCUUUAAGUCUUUGGGUUCCGGGGGAAGUAUGGUUGCAAAGCUGAAACUUAAAGGAAUUGACGGAAGGGCACCACCAGGAGUGGAGCCUGCGGCUUAAUUUGACUCAACACGGGAAAACUCACCCGGGCCGGACACUAUGAGGAUUGACAGAUUGAUAGCUCUUUCUUGAUUUGGUGGUUGGUGGUGCAUGGCCGUUCUUAGUUGGUGGAGCGAUUUGUCUGGUUAAUUCCGAUAACGAACGAGACUCCAGCCUGCUAAUUAGUGCAUUCGUCCACUGCAUCAGCCGAGCGGCGCUGUGUCAACUGCGUGAAGUCAUGUGGUAUAAUGGCGCGGGGUUUUGUUGCACGUUCGUGGCUGUACUGUUUCUGCAGUAUGGUUGCGGCGUGUGCAGGGCUUCGUUGCUUGUCUGCAUGUCACCUUCAUGCGGAUGGUGCGACGUUAGCUAGCAGGUGCGGCGCGAAUGCUCACUUCUUAGAGGGACACGCGGGAGAAGCCGCACGAAAUAGAGCAAUAACAGGUCUGUGAUGCCCUUAGAUGUCCGGGGCCGCACGCGCGCUACAAUGGCGGUGUCAACGAGUUAGACCUCCUGGCCUGAAAGGGUUGGGUAAACUGGUCAAUCACCGUCAUGACAGGGAUCGGGGCUUGGAAUUGUUCCCCGUGAACGAGGAAUUCCUAGUAAGUGCAAGUCAUAAGCUUGCGCUGAUUACGUCCCUGCCCUUUGUACACACCGCCCGUCGCUACUACCGAUUGAAUGGUUUAGUAAGGUCCUUGGAUUGGCGCCAAUUAGAUGCCAUCGAAAGGUGUGUAUCUAGCCGGUGCU